AGGAUUACAACAGUUCCUAUAUGAUCACCAAAGUUAAGCAAUGUUGAGCCUGGUCAGUACCUAGAUAGGGAACCACUUGGGAAUACCAGGUGCUGUAA